UCUUGAUGUCUUUAUAAUUUCCAUUUUCAACUUCUGGUUCCGGAUUCUUAGGUUUGCACUGCAGAGAGAAAAAAACAGAGUGAGCACAGAGAUGUGACAGGAAGAGAAAACACACACGCUUUGAUGAACAUUCAUACUCAGACUGCACACUGUCACAUACUAUUUUUGAAAAGUAGUUUCUAAGUCAGUAUUUACUACUAAACUGUUCCAGAAGAGUUCAACCCAAAUAUUUAGAUAUGUGCAGCACAUUUUAUGGAGGAUUGUUUCCUGAUCCUGGGAGAGAAGACUACAAUGCCGGCUGUUCUGACUCACAGUCUACGAAGGCCGCUGCCACAAUAGUUGAUUGACACUAGUGUUUUACCUUGGACCUGCCCUGAGUGAGAUGUGAACAGUCCGCCAUUGUUUCGACAACGGAGCAGAGAUGUAGACAAGAAUGUCUCCACAGGAAUUGAGGUAUUAUUCCUAAUAAGGUGCUAGUUUUGUGGCUAAAUGCGGCUAUAGUAAACACAAUAGCUGUGUCUCAUAUAGAAGGCUGCGCUCUUCGGAGGUCGCAUUCGAAGACUGCAUACGUCAUUGAGGCGGUCUCAUUUCAGAAAAGCAGGCAGGACACUCUGAAUGCGACCUUCUUUCACAGGAAUUCCGAGGAUGCAUGAGGUGUAUCCUUCGCUGCUACAGAUAACCCACAAUUCUUUGCAUCGCCGUAAACAGCUGUCAUUAAUUUGAAAAAUGGCGGAGCUGGCAGAUGUACACACAAGUGCAGAUGUGGUGCUUAAUACUCACCUUAAUCCGUAAAAACGGAUAAACUUUGUUCUUAAUAUCCUCCUUCUCCUUUUCGCUAACUAAUAUCUGCUGUACAUACGCUGCAGUUCCUCAAACAUAGGGCAAAAAAAUUUAAAAAUUUUUUUUAAAUUUUUUUUCAAAUUAAUUUCCAAAUUUAGAAAUAAUUUUCCUUCAUUUAAAGGGUUACUUCGCCCAAAAAUAAAAAUUAGCCCAUAAAUUACUCA
ensembl:lncRNA